rnacentral:rRNA from 1 species
CAGCCGCCACGGGAAUACGGAGGGAGCUAGCGUUGUUCGGAAUUGCUGGGCGUAAAGCGCGCGUAGGCGGUUACUCAAGUCAGAGGUGAAAGCCCGGGGCUCAACCCCGGAACUGCCUUUGAAACUAGGUGACUAGAAUCUUGGAGAGGUCAGUGGAAUUCCGAGUGUAGAGGUGAAAUUCGUAGAUAUUCGGAAGAACACCAGUGGCGAAGGCGACUGACUGGACAAGUAUUGACGCUGAGGUGCGAAAGCGUGGGGAGCAAACAGGAUUAGAUACCCGCGUAGUCCCUGUCUCUUAUAC